GACGAACGCUGGCGGCGUGCUUAACACAUGCAAGUCGAACGGAAAGGCCCUGCUUUUGUGAGGUGCUCGAGUGGCGAACGGGUGAGUAACACGUGAGUAACCUGCCCUUGACUUUGGGAUAACUUCAGGAAACUGGGGCUAAUACCGGAUAGGAGCUCCUGCUGCAUGGUGGGGGUUGGAAAGUUUCGGCGGUUGGGGAUGGACUCGCGGCUUAUCAGCUUGUUGGUGGGGUAGUGGCUUACCAAGGCUUUGACGGGUAGCCGGCCUGAGAGGGUGACCGGCCACAUUGGGCCUGAGAUACGGCCCAGACUCCUACGGGAGGCAGCAGUGGGGAAUAUUGCACAAUGGGCGGAAGCCUGAUGCAGCAACGCCGCGUGCGGGAUGACGGCCUUCGGGUUGUAAACCGCUUUCGCCUGUGACGAAGCGUGAGUGACGGUAAUGGGUAAAGAAGCACCGGCUAACUACGUG
rnacentral:rRNA from 1 species